AUGACCCAGUGCCACCCACUGUCCAACCACUCCAACUUCUUCACCGUGAAGGCCGAGGCCUACCUCAACACUACCUCUUGCCACCAGCAUGGCCAAUAUCAACGCCGCCGCUGUUCCAGGGAAGGUGAUGGGCACACCUGGCCCUGCCGGCAGAAUCAGCCCAGAAGGAAGUCAGGUGUUGAGUAAAAAGAAGCUGCAGGACCUCGUAAGAGAGAUUGACCCCAAUGAGCAGCUCGAUGAGGAUGUGGAGGAGAUGCUGCUACAGAUUGCAGAUGACUUCAUUGACAGUGUGGUGACGGCUGCCUGUCAGCUGGCCCGCCAUCGAAAAUCCAACACCUUAGAAGUGAAGGACGUCCAGCUACACCUGGAGCGCCAAUGGAACAUGUGGAUUCCUGGCUAUGGUUCAGAUGAGAUUCGGCCGUAUAAGAAGGCUUGUACCACAGAGGCCCACAAACAGAGAAUGGCAUUGAUCCGCAAAACAACCAAAAAGUAGCAAGACCUGGAACCAGCCUCGCACAAACCCUCUGUGCUGUUUGUCUUUGUCUUUUCUCUGUGUAUUUCUAAUAAUGGGGGACAUUCUUUCACCCAUGUCUUCAUCUUCCCCAGGUUUUGUGUGUGAUUUGUCAGCUCCAUCAUCACACAAGUAUUUUGAUCUUGAGUCCGUUUUAAUGCUUUUCACCACAGACUGGCCAAAAUCACACACUCCUCAUUCAGUGUAAAUGUACACUCUGGUAUGGAGUGUUGUUUUGGGACAGUGUUUUGUUUUAGGAAUUAUCUGUUCAACUUUACUUUUUUGUUCAGGGGGUAACCACCAAACACGCACAUCUUCAAUAUGGUGGUGUCUUCCAUACUCUUUCCCAAUUUGUUUUGUAAACUUUAAAAAAAAAAAUGUAUUUGUCUGGCAUGUGUUUGCUGUUGUGUGUUUAGUUUUUGUCACAUAAACAAACCCCCUUCAUCUAACAUCAGAAAUAUACACCAUUUGCAUUUACUUGGUUUCCAGGAUACUAUCAUGGCACAAUGUUUUUGUGUGCUGUAGAGAUCUGAUGUCAUCUCCAUAGUUCAUUAGAAAUUUACCCAGGACAUUGUUUUUCAUAAGAUGUCAACAAUUAACAACAAAUGACUGACUAUUAUUCAAAAAAUAAUAAGUAUGUGAAGUAUGUCUUGUGUCGCCAGACUGCAGUGAGAUGUGGUUGGGUAAUGGUCCUUAUUUGGGGAUGUGUUGGGAAGCUCUAACAUUUGUUUUACUUUAUAUUGGCAGUGUUAAACCUGUUAUUUUUAUUCCAUAAAUAAGAUUCAUAUUUCA